rnacentral:rRNA from 1 species
GACGAACGCUGGCGGCGUGCUUAACACAUGCAAGUCGAACGGAAAGGCCCUGCUUUUGUGGGGUGCUCGAGUGGCGAGCGGGUGAGUAACACGUGAGUAACCUGCCCUUGACUUUGGGAUAACUUCAGGAAACUGGGGCUAAUACCGGAUAGGAGCUCCUGCUGCAUGGUGGGGGUUGGAAAGUUUCGGCGUUUGGGGAUGGACUCGCGGCUUAUCAGCUUGUUGGUGUGGUAGUGGCUUACCAGGGUUUUGACGGGUAGCCGGCCUGAGAGGGUGACCGGCCACAUUGGGACUGAGAGACGGCCCAGACUGCUACGGGCGGCAGCAGUGGGGAAUAUUGCACAAUGGGCGGAAGCCUGAUGCAGCAACGCCGCGUGCGGGAUGACGGCCUUCGGGUUGUAAACCGCUUUCGCAUGUGACGAAGCGUGAGUGACGGUAAUGGGUAAAGAAGCACCGGCUAACUACGUG